rnacentral:rRNA from 1 species
CGAGUUAACUCCGUCCAAGCAGCCGCGUUAUACGGAGGGUGCAAGCGUUAAUCGGGAUUACUGGGCGUAAAGCGCACGCAGGCAGUUUGUUAAGUCAGAUUUGAAAUCCCCCGCGCUUAACGUGAGAACUGCAUUUGAAACUGGCAAGCUAGAGUCUCGUAGAGGGGGGUAGAAUUCCAGGUGUAGCGGUGAAAAUGCGUAGAGAUCUGGAGGAAUACCGGUGGCGAAGGCGGCCCCCUGGACGAAGACUGACGCUCAGGUGCGAAAGCGUGGGGAGCAAAACAGGAUUAGAUACCCUGGUAGUCCACGCUGUAAACGAUGUCGAUUUGGAGGUUGUGCCCUUGAGGCGUGGCUUCCGGAGCUAACGCGUUAAAUCGACCGCCUGGGGAGUACGGCCGCAAGGUUAAAACUCAAAUGAAUUGACGGGGGCCCGCACAAGCGGUGGAGCAUGUGGUUUAAUUCGAUGCAACGCGAAGAACCUUACCUACUCUUGACAUCCAGAGAACUUUCCAGAGAUGGAUUGGUGCCUUCGGGAACUCUGAGACAGGUGCUGCAUGGCUGUCGUCAGCUCGUGUUGUGAAAUGUUGGGUUAAGUCCCGCAACGAGCGCAACCCUUAUCCUUUGUUGCCAGCGAUUCGGUCGGGAACUCAAAGGAGACUGCCGGUGAUAAACCGGAGGAAGGUGGGGAUGACGUCAAGUCAUCAUGGCCCUUACGAGUAGGGCUACACACGUGCUACAAUGGCGUAUACAAAGAGAAGCGAACUCGCGAGAGCAAGCGGACCUCAUAAAGUACGUCGUAGUCCGGAUUGGAGUCUGCAACUCGACUCCAUGAAGUCGGAAUCGCUAGUAAUCGUAGAUCAGAAUGCUACGGUGAAUACGUUCCCGGGCCUUGUACACACCGCCCGUCACACCAUGGGAGUGGGUUGCAAAAGAAGUAGGUAGCUUAACCUUCGGGAGGGCGCUUACACAAGUAUGUGAUGAGAUGAAAGAACUUCU